rnacentral:tRNA from 1 species
CACGGGCGUGUCCGAUGCGCGGGACGCGGUGCUCGCAGCACCGCGCGAGCGGCCCACGUUCAUCGCCGCGGACCUGCGU